rfam:Triticum aestivum genome assembly, contig: Triticum_aestivum_CS42_TGACv1_scaffold_159191_2DL
AUUAUACUCCCUUCAUCCGGAAAUACUUGUCAUUAAAAUAGAUAAAAAACAUGCAUCUAGAACGUCUAGAUAGAUCUUUUUUAUUCAUUUUAAUGACAAGUAUUUUCGGACGGAGGGAGUACUAA